rnacentral:rRNA from 1 species
AUUGAACGCUGGCGGCAGGCCUAACACAUGCAAGUCGAGCGAGCGGCGGACGGGUGAGUAAUGUCUGGGAAACUGCCUGAUGGAGGGGGAUAACUACUGGAAACGGUAGCUAAUACCGCAUACCAUCAGAUGUGCCCAGAUGGGAUUAGCUAGUAGGUGGGGUAAUGGCUCACCUAGGCGACGAUCCCUAGCUGGUCUGAGAGGAUGACCAGCCACACUGGGACUGAGCCACGGCCCAGACUCCUACGGGAGGCAGCAGUAGGGAAUCUUCGGCAAUGGACGAAAGUCUGACCGAGCAACGCCGCGUGAGUGAAGAAGGCCUUCGGGUUGUAAAGUACUUUCAGUCGGGAGGCGUUACCGACAGAAGAAGCACCGGCUAACUCCGUGCCAGCCGCCGCGGUAAUAC